rnacentral:rRNA from 1 species
ACUGCUCAGUAACACGUGGACAACCUGCCCUUAGGUUGGGUAUAAACCCGGGAAACUGGGUAUAAUACCCGAUAGGUCUCGAUUGCUGGAAUGCAUCGAGAUUUAAAGCUCCGGCGCCUAAGGAUGGGUCUGCGGCCUAUCAGGUAGUAGUGGGUGUAGCGUACCUACUAGCCUACGACGGGUACGGGUUGUGAGAGCAAGAGCCCGGAGAUGGAUUCUGAGACACGAAUCCAGGCCCUACGGGGUGCAGCAGGCGCGAAAACUUUACAAUGCUGGCAACAGCGAUAAGGGAACCUCGAGUGCCAGGUUACAAAUCUGGCUGUCGAGAUGCCUAAAAAGCAUUUCAUAGCAAGGGCCGGGCAAGACCGGUGCCAGCCGCCGCGGUAACACCGGCGGCUCGAGUGGUAACCGCUAUUAUUGGGUCUAAAGGGUCUGUAGCCGGCCGGAUAAGUCUCUUGAGAAAUCUGGCAGCUUAACUGUCAGGCUUUCAGGAGAUACUGUCUGGCUCGAGGCCGGGAGAGGUGAGAGGUACUUCAGGGGUAGGGGUGAAAUCUUGUAAUCCUUGAAGGACCACCAGUGGCGAAGGCGUCUCACCAGAACGGACCUGACGGCAAGGGACGAAAGCUAGGGGCACGAACCGGAUUAGAUACCCGGGUAGUCCUAGCCGUAAACGAUACUCGCUAGGUGUCGGCCACGGUGCGACCGUUGUCGGUGCCGUAGGGAAGCCGUGAAGCGAGCUACCUGGGAAGUACGGCCGCAAGGCUGAAACUUAAAGGAAUUGGCGGGGGAGCAC